CAAAUCUACUAAGAAGUCGCUAUCUUAGUUUGGUCGAGUUCACAUGCUGAAUGUCGUCACACUUAACCUCCACAUUAAUAUCACACAUUCUCACGGCACGUUUGAUUACUGACGAGUUGUCUUCAAGGAUAUGUGGAUGAUGCUAACUGCGGAAAGCAGGUUAGCAUAAUGGACUAACCACAGUUAACACUAAUUAUGUUUAUCAUGUGGUUACAGGUUAAAAGUGGUGCUAACAGCGGUUUGCAUCAUCCAUGGUUAGCGUUUCCUUUACUGUAUUUAACACUAAUCGUAAUUACUGUUGCAGUUAAAGGUUGCGUUUUCUUUCAUUUGGAUUUCAUUUCGAUUUUCCAGCCCCCCAUUCUAACUCCAGUCUCUAAAAACAGGAUCUGGAUCCAAGCAUGGACUUUGAAGAAAGUCAUGACUGAAUCAUUGAUUUCUUAACGUUAACACUGGAUGUUGAUUGGCUGAGAGCUCUUGUGUCAUCAUCUUGACCUAGCUGUUGCGCAAGCAUGGUGACAUUGGAUGAGGUAAUUACUUUGGCUGUCAAAAAAAUCAAGACCAAUUAUGGUGCAGUUAAAAAAAAAAACAACAAAGAAAAAAAAAACACUUUUGUUAAAGCCUUUGUUGUAAAACAACUGUGCCGUUUCCCCAUAGAUCACAGCGCCCUCUGAUGGUCACAAUUGCAAAGCAUGCAUGCCGCCACUCUGUUGUAUCUGACUCUUGUGGGGGGAGGUCUCAGAGACUGGGGGCGUGUCUACUAUGGACUGUAAAAUGCGGAGUGAUGAUGUAACAAUGCUAUAAAUAGAACUUUUGUCGCAAACCCCGAUAUCAGACAGUUAAUCUGUUUAAUCUUGCUAUAAACAUAUAAAAAUGUAAUAAUACUAAUAAUCAAAAUAUUUGCUCGACUAUUUUUUUUCACAAAAAAUUAUUAAAUAAGCUGCUGCAAGCGCACAACCCUGCAAGAGCAAAUGAAAGUCCUUGAGCCCCGCCCAGCCACCCUGUGAUUGGCCUGAUCACAUUGGAGCUGGGCUGUGAUUGGCCUGUUCAGUCUGUGACGCAGUAAAUGCUGCUUGUGAUAAAAUGAGAGUUUAGGCAAAUGCAGACGAGUGUGCAGUGAAAAUGAAACAUAUAUGUAGAUAAUACAAGAAAAACUUUUUUAGUCAAUCUUAGAGAUUUUUUUUCUCCUUUAAUGACUUUAAUUUCAUUUUAAGAUGAGGCCAAUAUUAGUAAUAAUUCUAACAAUAAAUAAUUUCACCCUGCAGACCAAAUGAAUAAAGUUAUAGUGGUUAAGGAAUACUGUUAAUCUACAUACAGUUUCUUAUUUACACCUGAAACACAGCAUAUUUUUGCUUUUUGAAGUCUGUUUGCAGACUGUGGUCAUCUUUAAAAUAUAGUCUAAUUUAAAAAUGGGAUGCAGAAUUCCAACAUAUCAGGUUCUGGCUUCAGCGUUUGAAGCAAUAAUGUUGAAAUAAUAAUAAUGAUGAUGAUGAUGUAUGUAUAUAAGCACUUAUAUAAGCGGUUUGGCACAACAAAGUGCUGUGAUUUUUACUGAACCAUUUAACUGCGGUUAUGAUUUAUUUUGUUGUGUUACAGUGAGGCAGCAUUAACGGGAACACGGGACUCCAGCUGUGCUAGUAGAAUUAGCGCACUAACAUGCCGUCACCCUCUCAGUCUGUAGAUAUGUACUGGAUAUGUAAUUUAUAUAUGAUGACAUGACAUUUCUCAUUCUAAAAGGCUAGUUGGUGUAAAUGUCGUGUCAGGGUUUUGAUUCUGCACUUUGUGCUGCUAAUCUGUAUUUGUUCGAUAGUUUGUAGGAAGCUCGCGCUGAUCGUUUUGUUGUGGCCACCGUUUGGUUGACAGCAAUGUGAAACUCGUAGCUGGUUCAGUUUGGCUUGCAUUUGAAGGGGUGCUACUUUUCAUAAUCGUUCAAGAGCGAAACAGCGCCCCCUACAGAUUCUGCACUGUAACAAUGCAAAACCGGUUGCACAGACAUUUUGAAUUUUGUCAACUUAAGGGCAUUAUUUGCAUCAGUUUAAGUUCAACACAUUUGCUCAAACUGUUAUGUUUACCCAACUUAAAAUUUUGAUUCAGAUCAACUCACAGUUGUGAGUUGAAGGAACUAGAUUUAGGGUGGUGACCAUCUGCUUUGGUUCAACUAACAAAAUAGAACAGUCGCACAAGAUAUUGUCAAGUAUGGAGCGAUAAAAUAUUCUACCACUGCUACACAUGGACACUACACAGCACAACUCCUUUAUACUAAUCGUGUUUGAGUUUGACUUGUGCUUGACUUUGUUGAUUAAAUGGAUUCAAAGGUACAAUUACAUUUGUAUGCAAGAAUAAGCUCCACCCAUGUGACCACUGACUGGAGUAAGUGGGUAUAGAAAAUGAAUGAAUACCACAACAAGCUCAUUUUUAAACAGACUUGUUAUUUUGAAGUUACUAUCAGUGAACUUGCAAUUCUGAGUUGAUCUGAAUUAAAAUUUUAAGUUGGCCAAACUUAAUAAUAUCAGUCUGAGCAAACAUUUCAAUGUAAACUGAUGAAACUAAUAUCUUUAUGUUGAGAAUAUUUUAAACAUCUUUUUGUUUUCAGCGA